rnacentral:tRNA from 1 species
GCCUGGGUGGCUCAGUCGGUUGAGCGUCUGACUCUUGACUUCGGCUCAGGUCACGAUCUUGUGGGUUCGUGAGUUCCAGUCUCACAUCAGGCU